rnacentral:pre_miRNA from 1 species
CAGAGUGUAUGGAUGUGGAUAUGGAAGGGUUAGUAAACAGUACAAAACCCAUUUAAUAGAGAUUCCAUCGGAGCAUCAUUGUUGGCUGUUAGAUCAAGCAACUGUAUUUUGAUGGCCACACUCAUUGAAUGGGUUGCUUGUUUUGCUUUUAACCAGCCCUUUUUCUAUCCAACUGCCUGUAUUUUGAUGGCCAUGCUCAUUAAAUGGGUUACCUGUUAGCUAUUCACCAGCCCUUCUCCUAUCCACAACUGUACUAGUUUG